CAAACAAUAGUCUAAAUUAGGAUCCUAGCUUUGGGAGUUAGGGGUAGGGGUUAAA
rnacentral:tRNA from 2 species